UACGAAGGGUGCAAGCGUUAAUCGGAAUUACUGGGCGUAAAGCGUGCGUAGGCGGUUGCUUAAGUCAGAUGUGAAAGCCCUGGGCUCAACCUGGGAAUGGCAUUUGAAACUGGGCAGCUAGGGUGUGAUAGAGGAUGGCGGAAUUCCCGGUGUAGCGGUGAAAUGCGUAGAGAUCGGGAGGAACAUCCGUGGCGAAGGCGGCCAUCUGGAUCAACACUGACGCUGAGGCACGAAAGCGUGGGGAGCAAACAGG
rnacentral:rRNA from 1 species